GACGAACGCUGGCGGCGUGCUUAACACAUGCAAGUCGAACGGAGUGGCGAACGGGUGAGUAAUACGUGAGUAACCUGCCUUCUUCUUUGGGAUAAGCCUGGGAAACUGGGUCUAAUACUGGAUAGUGGGGGAUGGUCUCACGGCCUAUCAGCUUGUUGGUGGGGUGAUGGCCUACCAAGGCGGGGACGGGUAGCCGGCCUGAGAGGGUGACAGGCCACAUUGGGACUGAGCUACGGCGCAGACUACUACGGGGGGCAGCAGUGGGGUAGAUUGCACAAUGGACGGGAGACGGCUGGAGUGACGCCACGUGGGGGAGGUAGGCUUGCGGGUUGUAAAUUGCUGUUGAUGCUGAAGCGGUAGGUGUUGAAUAAGCGCCGGCUAACUACGUGCCAGCAGCCGCGGUAAUUC
rnacentral:rRNA from 1 species